rnacentral:rRNA from 1 species
UACGAAGGGGGCUAGCGUUGUUCGGAUUUACUGGGCGUAAAGGGCACGUAGGCGGCCAGCACAAGUCAGUUGUGAAAUCUCCGAGCUUAACUCGGAAAGGUCAACUGAUACUGUGCGGCUAGAGUGCAGAAGGGGCAACUGGAAUUCUUGGUGUAGCGGUGAAAUGCGUAGAUAUCAAGAGGAACACCUGCGGUGAAGGCGGGUUGCUGGGCUGACACUGACGCUGAGGCGCGAAAGCUAGGGUAGCAAAUGGG